ACAGCAAACUGACGACAAGAGAACUUGUCUGAUGUUAUGAUAUAUUUACUGUUAGGGGUGAAAACAUCUGCCAGACCACCGGACAGGCUGCUUUUGAAAUUUGACCGUCCGAGAUGAAAAUAGACUGUUCCGGAUGGUCGGGCAGGUGGAAAUUUUAAACGCUGCUUUUAAUGGAUGGA